CUUUGGAAAGAAUUGACUUUUAGGAGUAGUUUUACUACACUGUACUUUUAACAUGCGUAAUAUUUUUGAAUCUGCUUCUUUACCGCAUCAAUAUGAGGUUACACCAUGCUGCUGAUGUUUUCAUCUUCUUCCAGUCUGUGAUCGCCAUCAGUAACUGCGCGGUCUGCGCUUUUUCAUGUGGAGCAAAUGUGACGCUCAACCAAAAACCUGAUAAACACACAGCUUGUGCUGCCCCCUGUUGGACGCCUAUAGACUGACAACAGAGCAUCCAAAAAAAUGGCAAGCUGAAUCAAGCAUCUGUGUUUAUUUAUGACCCAGCUGGAUAAUCUCUGACCCACUUUCUGCAUCUGGAUGUAACCGUGUUGGGCGUACUGAUUUCCCUCUGAGUCUAUUGUAAACAAAAUAUAUAAUUAGCUGAGCGCAAAAAAAAUGACUUUAAGUGUCAAAAUGUUAAAAGUGGUAGAUGGAGGAAUUGUUGUUGUCAGAUGUUAGUGGAGCGGUUUUAUUUCUGUCAGUCUUGUUGAGAUUUUUCGCUAUUAGUCAGCAGGUUUUUUCUUGACGUGUGACACAAAUUUAACAACAUAUUCACUCAGUGGGUUUAUUUUUGUAACCAAAAAAAUUCAAAACAUCACAUCAUCACAUUUUAUCUCCAGGGGUUAUUGGGGCGAGAGAAC